UUAUUCUUUGACUAAAGUUUUUCUACAGACAAAAGGCAGGCAGAGGACAUGGGGGCAGGGAGAGGGAUGGAGAAGGACCUUAGGGUCCUGCUCCAUUUAAGUUUAUUGUGAAAUACAGUCUAACAAUUAUGUUUGAAUUUGAGAAUUGCUACUUUUGGUGCGUAUAGCCAAUGGAUUUCACACGCCAGAAUUACCUAGGUAGAUUAUUUAAAAUCCAGAGUCCCUGGCCCCAUCCCUAGAAAGUCUGAUUCAGCAAAACCUGGUAAACUGCAUUUUUCAUAAAUAUCUAGGGAUCUGAGAAGACCCUUUGGGAAAAACUGCUCUGAGCCUCUCUCGUCGUGGGAAAUCCUUCAUAUUCUAUGAGCCCUUAGGUGCUAAAUGCAUGCAGCUUGUGUUAUAGAGCUUCAGUCUGGAAGAGUCCGCUUCUCAGGUGUUCAUCUACCAUAUGUGGAAAGUACACUGGUUUCCUAGUGAUCCAGAAUGAGAAACGUCAGCCUCUUUGGAAAACCAAUGCCAGUGUCACUUCUCACUACAGCUAAUUUGCCCGAGAGAGAUGUCCAGACAAGACUCCGAGAAGGAAACCUUACCAGAAGAUGCAAUAGGUAAAUAAUCGAAGACAAACACAGGCUGAAGUUUAGUGGGAAAUAGUCAAGACAUUAAAUGACACAAUUGUACCCAGCAGAACAGCUUUGUCAGCAAAAUACUAGCAGAUACUUGUUUCCCUGAUAGGCUGGCUGAUUCUAGAGAUAAAACAGAUCAUGUGGGUUGUUGGACAGCUUUGUACCAUUCACACACUAGUUAGCAAACACAUGAGACCAGAAGUACCAGAAAGUGAGCCCAAUAACUUGAGGAAUUUGGGCCAUAAAAGGCAACUCUCUUAGGCCACAUUCUUUCGAUUUUAGGUGGUUGAAACUUACUUCAAACAAACUUGAGCAUAAAGGAAAAAAGAGAGAAUUUAUUUGAAGGAGACUGUGUAUCUUGCAAGAAUCAAAGGACAGCCCGUUCAUGAGAACUUGGAACCAGGAAGAAGAAAGCCACCAAGAGCUCAGAAAAAUUCUAUCCCAGUUUUUAAAUCUGUUUCCCUUCAGCUGUCUGCUUAAUCUCCCUUUGUUGAUCUGCUUUGGCAGCUUUGGGGAGCUCAUGGACAUAGGUGGCUCUCCACGGCUCCCACAUUUAACCCCUUAUUCUCAGGAAAGAAACUCUGAUUGGCCCAGCUUGUAUCAGGUGCUCAUUCCUGGUCCAAUCACCUGUUGGAGGAGAGGGGGUGAUGCCUAGGUGCCAGCAUGCUGGUGGGGUGCUAGUUCUUGUGGGUGAGGAAAGAGUUUUCAGGUAAAGAAAGUCAUGGGCUGGGCAGACCCACCAAAAUGUACCUCCUGUCACAGCUAUCUCAGCAGGAAGAACCAGGAUUAUCACCUAUUGGAUAUAUUUCCAAACAGUCGUGUGCACUGUACUUAUUGAGUUGGAGCUACUAUCUCAAGGGAAAGUUCCUACAAUCCUCCAAACCCUAUGACUCCAACUGGCCCAGUCUCAGCCACGUGGUGCAUUCAAAGAAGUACAAUUCAGGAACCAAGAAAUAUUAUAAAUCUAUACUCAUUAUUUCAAAUCUAUACUGUCUCUCAGGGAAAUGCCAAAGGAGAGGUGAAUUCUUAAAGCAUAGCAAGCAUCUUAAAAUUCUCUCUCCAUCGCUGCUCCUCUUACUAUUCUGCACAUGGAUGUCAGCUUUCCCCCCAAAUUCUCUCUUGCACCCUGAAACAUACCCUGUGCACAGAUUUUUUUUUCCAUCCCAUGUUCCCAUCUCCCUCACCUGCUCUUUAUUAUGUAAAUCAAUCAGCCACACUGUCCUAUAUCGUUUUUUCCCUCUGUUUUACUCAAUACCCAGACUCCCUCCAUGCUGUGCAGUUUCUGAUACUAGUUGAAUUUUUUUCUCCAAAACUUCAGGAACCACAGAGGUCUUUUUUGUCUAACUUCAUCGGCCAUGUGAAUUCCAUCCAGCUGGAGGCCUCAAGCCAGAGAUUAUCCGGAUUGUAUGAAGCCCCCCAUCACGCAAAAUGCUGCCCUCGAAAAACUGGAAGAGACCUUCCCCUUCAUACAAAGGCAGAGGCUGUGGAAGAAAACCACUGAGCUGAAUUCACUGGACAACAUACUCAUUCCUCAGGUAAAAUUCAUCACGUAGCUUCCAAGCCUAGGAGCUAACUCUGCUGGGGGAAGUUAUGAGACGUCAAGUGAGAACAGGAGGUCCCUUUGACGUGCUGGUUGAACUCCAGGACACGGCUCCAUUUAUUCUCCCAGUGGAACACCACAUUGCUUCCUCUCAUUCCUUUCCAACAGGGCUGAUCUAGGAAAGAACGAGGACCAAAGGUCUUUGCAGAUAUAAUGGAGGAUCUCCAGAUGACAUCACCUGAGAUUUAGGACAAGCGCUAAAUCCGGGGACCGGUGUUCUGACAGCAGAAAGAAGAGAGACACACACACACCGAGACACACAGAUGGAGAAAGCCCUACGAAGAUGAGGCAGAGACUGGAAUUAGGUGGCCACAAGCCAAGGAACGCCAGGAGCCACCAGCAGCUGG